rnacentral:rRNA from 1 species
AGGGUUCGAUUAUGGCUCAGGAUGAACGCUAGCUACAGGCUUAACACAUGCAAGUCGAGGGGAAACGAUAUUGGAAGCUUGCUUCCGAUAGGCGUCGACCGGCGCACGGGUGAGUAACGCGUAUCCAACCUGCCCACCACUUGGGGAUAACCUUGCGAAAGUAAGACUAAUACCCAAUGAUAUCUCUAGAAGACAUCUGAAAGAGAUUAAAGAUUUAUCGGUGAUGGAUGGGGAUGCGUCUGAUUAGCUUGUUGGCGGGGUAACGGCCCACCAAGGCAACGAUCAGUAGGGGUUCUGAGAGGAAGGUCCCCCACAUUGGAACUGAGACACGGUCCAA